rnacentral:rRNA from 1 species
GAUGAACGCUGGCGGCGUGCCUAAUACAUGCAAGUCGAGCGAAUGGAUUAAGAGCUUGCUCUUAUGAAGUUAGCGGCGGACGGGUGAGUAACACGUGGGUAACCUGCCCAUAAGACUGGGAUAACUCCGGGAAACCGGGGCUAAUACCGGAUAACAUUUUGAACCGCAUGGUUCGAAAUUGAAAGGCGGCUUCGGCUGUCACUUAUGGAUGGACCCGCGUCGCAUUAGCUAGUUGGUGAGGUAACGGCUCACCAAGGCAACGAUGCGUAGCCGACCUGAGAGGGUGGUCGGCCACACUGGGACUGAGACACGGCCCAGACUCCUACGGGAGGCAGCAGUAGGGAAUCUUCCGCAAUGGACGAAAGUCUGACGGAGCAACGCCGCGUGAGUGAUGAAGGCUUUCGGGUCGUAAAACUCUGUUGUUAGGGAAGAACAAGUGCUAGUUGAAUAAGCUGACACCUUGACGGUACCUAACCAGAAAGCCACGACUAACUACGUGCCAGCCGCCGCGGUAA